rnacentral:rRNA from 1 species
CCUACGGGCGGCAGCAGUGGGGAAUAUUGCACAAUGGGCGCAAGCCUGAUGCAGCCAUGCCGCGUGUGUGAAGAAGGCCUUCGGGUUGUAAAGCACUUUCAGCGGGGAGGAAGGCGGUGAGGUUAAUAACCUCAUCGAUUGACGUUACCCGCAGAAGAAGCACCGGCUAACUCCGUGCCAGCAGCCGCGGUAAUACGGAGGGUGCAAGCGUUAAUCGGAAUUACUGGGCGUAAAGCGCACGCAGGCGGUCUGUCAAGUCGGAUGUGAAAUCCCCGGGCUCAACCUGGGAACUGCAUUCGAAACUGGCAGGCUAGAGUCUUGUAGAGGGGGGUAGAAUUCCAGGUGUAGCGGUGAAAUGCGUAGAGAUCUGGAGGAAUACCGGUGGCGAAGGCGGCCCCCUGGACAAUGACUGACGCUCAGGUGCGAAAGCGUGGGGAGCAAACAGGAUUAGAUACCCGGGUAGUC